rnacentral:pre_miRNA from 1 species
GUGCUUUUUUGCUAUUUUCAUUGACUUCAGGAUAUCGUGAUACUGAGAAUUCAAUGAUGUAUAGCAAAGAGCCU